CGGCACGGGUGAGUAACACGUAUGCAAUCCACCUGUAACAGGGGGAGUAACCCGGAGAAAUCCGGACUAAUACCCCAUAAUAUGGGCGCUCCGCAUGGAGAGCCCAUUAAAGAGAGCAAUUUUGGUUACAGACGAGCAUGCGCUCCAUUAGCCAGUUGGCGGGGUAACGGCCCACCAAAGCGACGAUGGAUAGGGGUUCUGAGAGGAAGGUCCCCCACAUUGGAACUGAGACACGGUCCAA
rnacentral:rRNA from 1 species